rnacentral:lncRNA from 1 species
AGUAUUUAGAAAUGAUGUAGUUAGAUGUAGGAGAUGCACAGCAUUCUCAGUUUACCUGGAUCUCAUGGAGCAUAAAAAUUGGCAUGAAGUAAACUGUGUAAGAUUACCAGAGCCCCAGCUUAUCUGCUUUGUCUGUACCGAGACAGAAGGGGAGGGGUUACAGACUAUGGUGCCUACUCCCAUCACUGCUUCCCUCAGCCAUAACAGGACAAGGGGGAUCUUGAAAGCAUCUUGAAAAUUGUAAGGUGAUCCAGAUUUGGCCGUGUCUUUUACUUUGGCCAUAGUGGUGUCCAAUUAUAUUAUAAAUUAACUGAUGGAUUUAUGCUGCCAGAUCCUCAGAAUGUUUGCCUUAGAAGAU